ensembl:lncRNA
CGUUUUUGCAACUUUCUCCAAUACUAUUGAGCCAUUACCAUGUCAAUCAACGCUUGAUUAGAAAUGUAGUUCACGCUCAAGAUUUUGAUGUCAACACAGACGUUACAGUGCCAUUCGUUUUCAUUGCAACCUCGUUUGAAUGUAGUGGUUACGCAAAUGUGUACCGAAAGGGGUUAGUCACGGUUAGAUAAUGUAACGCUACCAACGGCGUUGGCUAGCUAGAGAUCUGCCAUUGACAGUAAACUGAACUCAAGAUAGCUAGCUAACGUCACUCGUCUAUGAUCUAGUUAUGGAAUCAAUAAAACGUAGUAACGUUAGCCAGCUAGCGAUGUAGUUAAAACUGUAUCGCACGGUUGUCAUUGUUAGACCAUGUUGCGGAGCCUUCGGUGGGCAAGCGGUCAUUUGAUUGAUGAAGAGUUGGCCAGCAAUCUAAUUGCUGUUGCAGGCAGAGGAGUUCCUACAAGAGACAAAGGACAUCCAACAACGUGAACUUUACCAAGAUGGAAAGUUGUUACAUUUGUACAGCAUGAGUGGCAAAGGCUGAGAUUGUAUAAUUUUACUUGUCCUGUGUUAAGUGUUAAGUCUCCUGUGUCAAGUCUGGGGUUGUGUGUGCACCUCUAUCUAGCGAAGUCAAUCAAUCAAUAAAUAAACAUUUGGUUGGCCUAGCUAAUGCUGUUCCUAAAUUCUAUAUUGUGCUCUUAUAGUCUUUUAAUCUAAAAAUAUUUUUAGGAGUGUAUGUUGUUUCACCUGUUUUGUGAUUGUCUCCACCCCCCUCCAGGUGUCGCCCAUCUUCCCCAUUAUCCCCUGUUUAUUUAUACCUGUGUUCUCUGUCUGUUGCCAGUUCGUUUUGUUUGGUCAAGCCUACCAGCGGUUUCCCUCUGUUCCUGUCUCUCGGCUGUUCGAUUUUUCUAGUUUUCCCGGUUUUUACCUGCCUGCCCUGGGCCUGCCUGCGAUCUUGUACCUUUUCCCCACCUAUCUGGAUUACUGACCCCUGCCUGCCUGCCCUUGACCUGUCUUUUGCCUGCCCCUGUUGGAUAAAUAAACUGUUGUUAAUUCGA